GACGAACGCUGGCGGCGUGGAUUAGGCAUGCAAGUCGGACGGUAGGGCUUUAUCGUAAGAUAGAGUUUGAGAGUGGCGAACGGGUGAGUAACACGUAGGAAUCUACCCUUAAGACGGGGACAACCCAGGGAAACUUGGGCUAAUACCGGAUGAGAGUGCGAGAGAUUGCAUUUAAAAGGAUGGCGAAAGUUGUCGCUUAGGGAUGAGCCUGCGGUCUAUUAGUUAGUUGGUGAGGUAAGAGCUCACCAAGGCGAUGAUAGAUAGGCGGCCUUAACGGGUGGUCGCCCACACUGGGAUUGAGAUACGGCCCAGACUCCUACGGGAGGCAGCAGUCGAGAAUAGUCUACAAUGGCCGGAAGGCUGAUAGUGCGACGCCGCGUGAACGAGGGAGCCUCGGGUGUAACUAGCUUUGUACGGACGAAACGGUAGAGCUCUAAUAAAGACUUGCUAAUGACGGUACCGUAAGAAUAAGACACCGGCGUAACUACGUG
rnacentral:rRNA from 1 species